ensembl:lncRNA NSUN5P1 NSUN5 pseudogene 1
GUAAAGGCGCGCGGGAACAUGGGGCUGUACGCUGCGGUGGCAGGCGUGCUGGCCGGCGUGGAGAGCCGCCAGGGCUCUAUCAAGGGGCUGGUGUACUCCAGCAACUUCCAGCCUUGAUGACUUACAAGCCCUCAAGGGGAAGCAUUUUCUCCUGGACUCCUUGAUGCCGGAGCUGCUGGUGUUUCCCGCCCAGACAGAUCUGCAUGAACACCCACUGUACCGGGCCGGACACCUCAUUCUGCAGGACAGGGCCAGCUGUCUCCCAGCCAUGCUGCUGGACCCCUGCCAGGCUCCCAUGUCAUCGAUGCCUGUGCCGCCCCAGGCAAUAAGACCAGUCACUUGGCUGCUCUUCUGAAGAACCAAGGGAAGAUCUUUGCCUUUGACCUGGAUGCCAAGCGGCUGGCAUCCAUGGCCACGCUGCUGGCCUGGGUUGGCGUCUCCUGCUGUGAGCUGGCUGAGGAGGACUUCCUGGCGGUCUCCCCCUUAGAUCCGCGCUAUCGUGAGGUCCACUAUGUCCUGCUGGAUCCUUCCUGCAGUGGCUCGGGUGAGAUGGUGAGAAGGCGUGGCUGAGGGACUCGGAGGUCCACAGCAGCUUAGACCUGGAGUCAUCUGUUUUGGUCUUAGUUCUGACACUUUAAUGGGCUUGGGACCCUGGAGCAAAAGUUCUCCUCUGUGAGGCAAGGAUUUCAGGAGCGAGGAUUUCAGGACUGAGGCAGCCUGUGAAGCUGUGUAACCGAGACACGCUUUUCCUUAGCGGCUCGUCUACUCCAUGUGCUCCCUCUGCCAGGAGGAGAAUGAAGACAUGGUACCAGAUGCGCUGCAGCAGAACCCGGGCGCCUUCAGGCUAGCUCCCGCCCUGCCUGCCCGGCCCCACCGAGGCCUGAGCACGUUCCCGGGUGCCGAGCACUGCCUCCGGGCUUCCCCCAAGACCACGCUUAGCGGUGGCUUCUUCGUUGCUGUAAUUGAACGGGUCGAGAUGCCGAUCUCAGCCUCACAGGCCAAAGCAUCAGCACCAGAACGCACACCCAGCCCAGCCCCAAAGAGAAAGAAGAGACAGCAAAGAGCCGCAGCCGGUGCUUGCACACCGCCUUGCACAUAGCAGAGGCUCCAGGCUGACUCCUUCCUGGUGGGAAAGGAAGAUGCCUGUCCUCUCCGUGGAGGACCCUGGGCCCUCACCGCAGGCAGCAGUUUGCAUUUUGAAAGGUUAUUGGGUCCCUUCCUCGGGCUGUGUUCUUGCUGGUGAGCAAAAGUGUUGCCUGCAGAAAUAAAAUGCAGAACGUACUCUA